UGGAGAUCCCUUCUUCUGGUGUUUUGUGGGUGAGCCCAGCACAAAGCUUGUGUUUGGACUGACUGUAUACUAAGCAAGAAGAUAACUUUUUGGUUUUUUUCACCACCUAAAUAGGUUUUCAGAAAUCAUCAGUGGCAGCAUGCAGUGAAGGUACCUAGUGACAGUCAAGAUAACAUGAAACAGCUCACAAUGGAGCUUGUUUUCUACAGUUUUGGAGGAAACUAACAUAUGAACCACGUUUCAGAGUUAUGCUGCAUUUGCGUGACCUUGGUGUGUAUAUAUAUAUAUAUAGCUUCAAGCCUGCAGAAGCUGGUAACAGCUCAGAUUGAAUGUGAAAGUGAAUGUGCAAGACUGCUCUACAAAGUUCUUUUCAAAGUAACAGCCAUUUGUUUUGAGCUUCCUGGUAUAUGAAAAUUAAAUAUAUUUGAAAUGUUCUUUGUAUUAUCUUUAAUGUGGACAAACUAUGCUGCUUUAAUUUUACACUGUAUCGUUCUUUG